rnacentral:rRNA from 1 species
GACGAACGCUGGCGGCGUGCUUAACACAUGCAAGUCGAACGGAAAGGCCCUGCUUUUGUGGGGUGCUCGAGUGGCGAACGGGUGAGUAACACGUGAGUAACCUGCCCUUGACUUUGGGAUAACUUCAGGAAACUGGGGCUAAUACCGGAUAGGAGCUCCUGCUGCAUGGUGGGGGUUGGAAAGUUUCGGCGGUUGGGGCUGGACUCGCGGCUUAUCAGCUUGUUGGUGGGGUAGUGGCUUACCAAGGCUUUGACGGGUAGCCGGCCUGAGAGGGUGGACGGCGUCCUUAGUACUGAGAUACGGACCAGACUCCUACGGUAGGCAGCAGUGGGGAAUAUUGCACAAUGGGCGGGAGCCUGAUGCGGAGACGCCGCGUGCGGGAUGACGGCCUUCGGGUUGUAAACCGCUUUCGCCUGUGACGAAGCGUGAGUGACGGUAAUGGGUAAAGAAGCACCGGCUAACUACGUG